rnacentral:rRNA from 1 species
AUUGAACGCUGGCGGCAUGCUUUACACAUGCAAGUCGAACGGUAACAGGGUGCUUGCACCGCUGACGAGUGGCGAACGGGUGAGUAAUGCGUCGGAACGUGCCGAGUAGUGGGGGAUAACGCAGCGAAAGUUGUGCUAAUACCGCAUACGUACUGAGGUAGAAAGUGGGGGACCUUCGGGCCUCACGCUAUUCGAGCGGCCGACGUCUGAUUAGCUAGUAGGUGAGGUAAAGGCUCACCUAGGCGACGAUCAGUAGCGGGUCUGAGAGGAUGAUCCGCCACACUGGGACUGGAACACGGCCCAGACUCCUACGGGAGGCAGCAGUGGGGAAUUUUGGACAGUGGGCAAAAGCCUGAUCCAGCCAUGCCGCGUGUCUGAAGAAGGCCUUCGGGUUGUAAAGGACUUUUGUCGGGGAGGAAAUCCCCCAGCGUUAAUACCGCUGGGGGAUGACAGUACCUGAAGAAUAAGCACCGGCUAACUACGUGCCAGCCGCCGCGGUAACAC